rnacentral:rRNA from 1 species
AGAUUGAACGCUGGCGGCAUGCCUUACACAUGCAAGUCGAACGGCAGCACGGGAGCAAUCCUGGUGGCGAGUGGCGAACGGGUGAGUAAUACAUCGGAACGUGCCCAGUUGUGGGGGAUAGCCCGGCGAAAGCCGGAUUAAUACCGCAUACGACCUACGGGUGAAAGCGGGGGCUCGCAAGACCUCGCGCUAUUGGAGCGGCCGAUGUCGGAUUAGCUUGGUUGGUGGGGUAAAAGCCUAACCAAGGCUACGAUCCGUAGCUGGUCUGAGAGGACGACAGCCACACUGGGACUGAGACACGGCCCAGACUCCGUACGGGAGGCAGCGAGUAGGGAAUUUUGGAACAAGUGGGGCGACAAAGCCGUGAACUCCAAGG